GCUGCCGCGAGGUGGGGUCUGAAGGAAGCGUGGAGCAAAACCGCGGCUCCAUGGACAAGAACCGGAUAACGAGGCCUACCCCGUCGGACGAGCGAGCAAGGGAUCGCGAAGUCCACAGUCAUCAAGUGCCGGGGUGGUAAAUCCGGCGAACGCGCUGUGAAGGCGAUCGGU
rnacentral:ncRNA from 1 species